GAUGAACGCUGGCGGCGUGCCUAAUACAUGCAAGUCGAACGAACAGACGAGGCGCUUGCUCCUCUGACGUUAGCGGCGGACGUGUGUGUAACAUGUGGAUAACCUCCCUAUAAUUCUGGGAUAACUUCGGGAAACCGGAUCUAAUCCCGUAUAAUAUCUUGCACCGCAUGGUUCAAUAGUGAAAUUCGGUUUUUCUGUCACUUAUCGCUGGUUCCGCGCCGCAUUAGAUAGUUGUUAAGGUCAUGGCUUACCAAGGCAACCCUGCGUAGCCGACCUGAGGGAGUGAUCGGCGACACGAGAACGGAGACACGGUCAAGACGACUACGGGAGGGAGCAGUAGGGAAUCGUCAGCAAUAGGGGGAAGCAUGACGGAGUAAGGAGGCGUGAGAGAUGAAGGUGUUGGGAGCGUAAAACCGUGUUAUGAGGGAAGAACAAAUGUGGAAGGAAAUAAAGAGGUAGUGACGGUAACUAAUCAAAAAGCAACGGCUAACUACGUG
rnacentral:rRNA from 1 species